UACGGGGGGGGGCAAGCGUUGUUCGGAAUUACUGGGCGUAAAGGGUGCGUAGGCGGUUAUUUAAGUCUGCCGUGAAAUCCCCGGGCUCAACCUGGUAAUGGCGGUGGAUACUGGAUAGCUAGAGUGUGUCAGAGGAUGGUGGAAUUCCCGGUGUAGCGGUGAAAUGCGUAGAGAUCGGGAGGAACAUCAGUGGCGAAGGCGGCCAUCUGGGACAACACUGACGCUCAUGCACGAAAGCGUGGGGAGCAAACAGG
rnacentral:rRNA from 1 species